AAGGAGCACCACGAAAAGCAUCCCAAUUGGUGGGGUGCGAGCCGUGAGGGGUUCUCGUCUGUAGUGGACGAAAACCGGGUGCACAACAGCAAAUGAUUGCCAGACACACUAUUGGGCCCUGAGACAACACUCGGUCGAUCCGUGUGGAGUCCCUCCAUCUUGGUGGUGGGGUGUGGUGUUUGAGUAUUGGAUAGUGGUUGCGAGCAUCUAGAUGAACGCAUAGUCCUUCGGGCUGAUGCGUUCAUCGAAAUGUGUAAUUUCUUUUUGAUUUUUGUGUGU
rnacentral:misc_RNA from 1 species